UGUUUGGCACCUCGAUGUCGGCUCAUCACAUCCUGGGGCUGAAGUAGGUCCCAAGGGUAUGGCUGUUCGCCAUUUAAAGUGGUACGCGAGCUGGGUUUAGAACGUCGUGAGACAGUUCGGUCCCUAUCUGCCGUGGGCGCUGGAGAACUGAGGGGGGCUGCUCCUAGUACGAGAGGACCGGAGUGGACGCAUCACUGGUGUUCGGGUUGUCAUGCCAAUGGCACUGCCCGGUAGCUAAAUGCGGAAGAGAUAAGUGCUGAAAGCAUCUAAGCACGAAACUUGCCCCGAGAUGAGUUCUCCCUGACUCCUUGAGAGUCCUGAAGGAACGUUGAAGACGACGACGUUGAUAGGCCGGGUGUGUAAGCGCAGCGAUGCGUUGAGCUAACCGGUACUAAUGAACCGUGAGGCUUAACCUUACAACGCCGAAGGUGUUU
rnacentral:rRNA from 1 species